rnacentral:rRNA from 1 species
CCUACGGGAGGCAGCAGUGGGGAAUAUUGCACAAUGGGCGAAAGCCUGAUGCAGCAACGCCGCGUGAAGGAAGAAGGGUUUCGGUUUGUAAACUUCUAUCAACAGGGACGAAAGAAAUGAUGGUACAUUAAUAAGAAGCCCCGGCUAACUUCGUACCAGCAGCCGCGGUAAUACGUAGGGGGCAAGCGUUAUCCGGUAUUACGGGGGGGAAAAGAUGAGUAGGCGGGAUGGUAAGCCAGAUGUGAAAGCCUUGGGCUUAACCCGAGGAUUGCAUUUGGAACUGUCAAGCUAGAGUACAGGAGAGGAAAGCGGAAUUCCUAGUGUAGCGGUGAAAUGCGUAGAUAUUAGGAAGAACACCAGUGGCGAAGGCGGCUUUCUGGACUGAAACUGACGCUGAGGCACGAAAGCGUGGGGAGCGAACAGGAUUAGAUACCCUGGUAGUC